CAGUAGCCGCGGUAAUACGUAGGUGGCAAGCGUUGUCCGGAAUUAUCGGGCGUAAAGGGCUCGCAGGCGGUUUCUUAAGUCUGAUGUGAAAGCCCCCGGCUCAACCGGGGAGGGUCAUUGGAAACUGGGAAACUUGAGUGCAGAAGAGGAGAGUGGAAUUCCACGUGUAGCGGUGAAAUGCGUAGAGAUGUGGAGGAACACCAGUGGCGAAGGCGACUCUCUGGUCUGUAACUGACGCUGAGGAGCGAAAGCGUGGGGAGCGAACAGGAUUAGAUACCCCUGUAGUCCCUGUCUCUUAUAC
rnacentral:rRNA from 1 species